rnacentral:rRNA from 1 species
UACGGGGGGGGCAAGCGUUGUUCGGAAUUACUGGGCGUAAAGGGCUCGUAGGCGGCCCACUAAGUCCGACGUGAAAUCCCCAGGCUUAACCUGGGAACUGCGUCGGAUACUGGAUGGCUUGAAUUCGGGAGAGGGAUGCAGAAUUCCAGGUGUAGCGGUGAAAUGCGUAGAUAUCUGGAGGAAUACCGGUGGCGAAGGCGGCAUCCUGGACCGACAUUGACGCUGAUGAGCGAAAGCUAGGGGAGCAAACGGG